AUAACCAUAAAAAUGGGCAACCAUUAGCCCUUGGGGCUUUACUUUUAUUCCUUUACUUUAUUAAUAAACUUGCUUUCACUUUAUGCUAUGGACUUGCCCUGAAUUCUUUCUUGUGCAAGAUCCAAGAACCUUCUCUUGGGGUCUGGAUUGGGACCCCUUUCAUGUAACAUCUUUCUAGUGACCAUGAAGGGACUGUAGUGCAGAAACCCCCAGGAAGUGUUGGGGUCCUGUAACACUUGUGUCUUUUGACCCCUUUCAUAUCCAGUUAAUUGAUCAUGAAGUGAUGUCAACUCUAUUUUCUGAAUAUUAGUUGACUCUCUUCCUUAACCUAGCCAGAAACCAUCAUUUACUUUAGGUAGUUUCCCACCAGGUCUUUUCCUUCCUAUUGGCCACCUGGCUGCCCCAGGGCUUUUUUGAAAAGGCAAAUCUCAUCAUUCCUAUCUUAAUGCUCAAAAUCCUCUAAUGGCUUCCUACUGUUCUCAGGGUGAAGUCCUGAGUCCUUCCUUCUCCUCCUAGCAAUGUCCUCUAAGAUCUGGGAUUUAUCUCUAACCAUUCACCCUGCCAUUCCUUUGCAUCUCUCUACCCCCUUGAAAUUGCACAUGCUUGCUUGCUUUCUUUCUUUCUUUCUUUCUUUCUUUCUUUCUUUCUUUCUUUCUUUCUUUCUUUCUUUCUCUUUCUCUCUCUCUUUCUCUCUCCCUCCCUCCCUCCCCUCCCUCCUUCCUUCCUUUCUCUCUCUUUCUCUUUCUUUCUUUCCUCCUUCCUUCCUCCCUCCUUCUUUCUUUCCUUUCUUUUCCUUCCUUCCUUCCCUCCCUUUUCUUUUCUUCCUUCCUUCCUUCUUCUUCUCCUUCCUCCUCCUUUUCUUCUUCUUCUGUUUUUCUUCUUCUUUUUCUUUCUUUCACUCUUUCUUUCUUUUCUUUUCUUUCUUUCCUUCUUUCUUUCUUUUUCAGAGACAGAGUCUUGCUCUGUUGUCCAUACUGGAGUGCAGUGGUGCCAUCAUAGCUCACUGCAGCCUCAAACUCCUGAGCUCAAGUGAUCCUCCUUCCUUGGCCUCCCAAAAAUUUAGGAUUAUAAGCAUGAACCACUGUGACCCGCCUGCACAUGCUUUUCUUUCUCUCUGCAGCAUCUUCUCCAUUGUCUUCACUUGGCUUGAUUUCUAUUUGUCCUUCAAGGUUUGGGUAAAACUAUCAACUGUUGGUCAUUCAAUACCUCUUCCCUUCUCUCCUCUCAGUUCCAGGCUAGGUCAAGUGCACCCACAGCUCCUUGUACCUAUGUACUUCCUAUUAUUACACUCAGCACACUACAUGGUGAUUGCUGAUUGACUUGUCUGCCUUUCUUACUGUCUGUGGGCUCCUUGAAGUAAGACUCUGGCAUGUAGAAGGCUAUCAGCACUUGGUUUUCCUUCCCUACUUCUCUCUAUUGCUCCCAAUGACAGAAAGUGCCAGUUGCCUACCAAGUAUCAACUUGCCUAGCUUCUUUAGUAAUAGACCACAUUAUCGUGGGCAUCAAUAUGCCUAGAUUAACAACCAGCAAAGCAAAGCAAAAUCAAACAACAACCACCACAAACAAAAACUAUAUUUCCCAGCUGCCUUUCCCGAUAGGCUAGGCCAAUGAGGUACAAGUGGAAGUCAUUUAAAGAGGCUUCUGGGAAAAUUCUUUAAAGGAAAUUGGCAAGCUGGGUAACAUAUGCCCGUUAGCCCCUUUUUCAGUUCCUUUCUGUUGCCUGAAGCUGCUCCAGCAGCCAUUUUCUGAGCAUGAGGAAUUCUGGCAGAUGGAAGCAAAUACGGAGGAUGGUGGAUAAAACCUAGAAGGAACCCAGGUACUGGAUGACCAGGAAGCUGCCAUACCAGUACUAGAUCACCUUCAUCCAAAUGUAAACCCUUUUUAUGUGAGGGAGGUAAUUCUUUAUUUUGUUUAAGCCAUAGUGAUUUCAGGGCUCUGCUACCAUGCAGCAGAAUACAGUUCCAAGAGACAAUAUCUCUUUCUCUGCCUCUUUCUUUUUUCUUGACCAAACUAUCACAAUUCACACAUUUAAAAUGCUAUUGUCCUUGGCUAAAUCAAUGGCCAUGGACCAGAAAAGGAUAUUGGGAGAGGCUGGUUUAGAUAAUUGGGUAGUAACAAGGAAACUUAGAAACAUGAAACUCUGUCAAGAGAAUUUGGCCUGGGAGAGUCUCCACUGAGCGUGUCCAGGGCAGCUGGUAAAUAGGCAACAGGUGAGUCUGAGCCUGUAAGAAAUGAGGGCUGGGACAGGAGGGGGUGGUGGCACUUAGAGAGAAACAGGAGGUUUCUCUCUAUAGUGAUGGCUUGAGUGAGGCACUGAGCUAAGCACUUUAUAUGCAUUAUCUCAUCAAACUUUCACAACAUCCUAUGAAGUAAGUACUAUUAUCCCCAUUUUGCUGAUGAGGAAACUAAGGCUCAAAGAAGUCAAAUAGUCUGACCAUAGGGUUAGUAAGAGGUG
rnacentral:lncRNA from 1 species